rnacentral:lncRNA from 1 species
AUAAUUCAUCCUAUCAAGUUGCUUUGAUGAAGGCAACCCAAAAUGACCAUGCACCAUCGGGUCAAGUACAUACCAAAAUAGUUAUGAACUUAGACACUAAUCCAACAAGAAGUAGUCCAAGGCUUCUAAAGAAGGAGUCCAUGGGCUGCUUAGGGCUUAAGUAGUCAAAUUAGGGUUUCCUUGUUAGAUAACCCUAAUUGCCUAAGUAUAUAAGGAGCCCUUAGGCACGAAAAACAUGGCUAACACUUGGAUUAGGGUUUCCAGCCGUUUUUGGUGCCUCCCCUCUCUUCUCUUCUUUAUCUUGUUGCUUAGUGGUGUUUGUGACUCCAUUAGAGGUGCAACACUUGAGGCACUAAGCUUUCUAAAGCUAAGGAUUGAUUGUUAUUGCUAUAUAACAAUCAAAGGUCAGAUCUAAACCCUAUUUUAUGUUAAUAUGAUUAAUUGUAUGCUAGAUCUAGGGUUUAUAGCUUUGGAUAUUCAAUUGCAUGUUCAUUAGACAUACUAGAUCCAAAAGCUAUUAGGGUUUGCAUGUACACCAUAGGAUUGAUGUAUUGCUCAAAACCUAUCAGUGGUAUCAGAGCCUAGGGCUGUUUGAUAGUGAAUUUGAUGCUUUUUGACUUUUUGGGGUUGGACUCGCCGAGUCCAUGACUGAACUCGCCGAGUCCACUGGGUACUCGAUGAGUCCAGUGCUGACUCGACGAGUCAGCGAGUCUGACAGCUAUAUUUUGCGAUUUUCUUGCUUUUUUUUUUUUGCUGUGGGAUAAUUACCAAAACGUUUUUGAUUGAUAAAAAUCGGAUUUUUAUGAUAUUGGGUGAUUAUCCUUGCCAAAAUAAAAGAUAUCUUCAUAUUAAUUGAAUAAUUACUUCCUUAUAUGAUUAAAUUUAAUUAUUUGAAUUAUUUGGUGAGUUAUCUUGCAAGAAAUUGGACUAGGUCAAAAUUAGAUAACCACCAAUUAGUUGUUAAUUGCCUUAUUUGAAUUUUUGAUCUAGAAUGUUCUUGAUAAAGUUUGAAAAAGUUUCAAAUUACUCCCUUUAGGUUUUAUAGUUUAAAUUUGAACUUAAAAGUUUUGUUUUUGAAAUUUAAAUAAGUUAAAUCCUAAUGUUUUGAAAAGUUUCAAAACUUUCCCUCAAGUUUUGGAUUUUAAAAUUAAUUAAAAGUCUUAAUUUGAAAUUUUAAAUUCUAAAACCCAAGUAAUUUGAAAAGUUCAUUUUACACCCUUAUGGUUUUAUUAAUUAAUUAAAGUGUAUAAUUAAAAUAGAUUUAAUAAACCCAUAAUGUUUUGGUUUACAUUUAAAUAAAAUAAAAGUAUAAUUUGCUAAAUUAGACUACCUACUAUUUUAAAAGUGUAAAAUACACCCUAUACUAUAGAUAACAUUAAAAGUCUAAUAUUAUAUAUAUGUAUGAGUAAACAGUUAGUCUUACCGUUAGUAGGCCUCAUUCACGAAGCUGGUUUAUAAUGGGUGUUUAAGGAAAUUGCCUAUAAAGUGGCGAUUGAAUGGGUAUCCACUCUUACCCACCACACUCUUGACUAGUGGAGGGUCGUUAGCCGAACAGGUAGGAUAGGACAGAAACCUUCCAUUAUAAGUAUAAUGAAGUACAAAGUAACUAAAUAUUUUUUCAAAUUCCCAAAUCAUAGUUACUUUAGGCAAAAUGUGAAGUUGUAUGCUAUCCAUGGAAUGACACUUUGCACCCUUGCCGAAACGUUAGUGGACCGUGUGUGGUUAACCAACACACUAAUUUGGGUUUGGCAUUGGUAGCGAAGGGUGACUCGAUGUUUGUCAUAGAUCAAUGGAGCGUGUGUGGCUAACCGGCACAUUGAUUAGGUGAUAGUAGCAUUGAGUGCACCACGUAGAUUCGUAUGGUUAUUCACACCUUAUUUGUGAUCCUCGGCAUCCCGGUCACAAAUAGAAGGGCAUAAUCAAGAUUAAACAUGCCAUUGAAAAGUUCAAUGAAUCUCAAAUUCAUUUAAAACUUAAAUUUCCUUUUCAUUUUUCAUGGUGGAAAUUGGUAAAUCGUCAUUUACCUACCUUCAAAUAUUCUACAACUAGAUUACGACAUCCUUCUUCUAGGCUGUAGAGUAUUGUGUUGGAUCCUAGCCUUAAUAAUUCAUUUGGGUGUUUUAUGAAGGACUCAAUCAACUUAACUUGAUUUUUCUCCCAUUUUGUAGAUGUCAGAAUCUUACAAUGGUCUUCCCAAAUCCUCUGGAACAAGCUUUCCAAAUGAAGAUGACGUUCCAAGCUACGAUCAAGGAAAUGAGAGUCAUGCUUCACUUCCUCCACCUCCUCGAAUUGUUCUCCCUGACCCACAAGUUUAAAGGAUUGAAAAUUUCAAGCUCAUUCAAGCCCUUUUGGCAAGUAAACACGAAGAUGGGAAACCUGUGUGUGCACACGUCUUAGAGAUGAAGUCACACAUUGAUAGGUUAAGGAUGUUGGGUGUCGAUAUCUCAGAGAUGUUGGUUGUUGACUGGGUUCUUCAGCCAUUUACUGAAUCAUAUAGUGAGUUCGUAAGAGAGUACUAUAUGAUGGAACACAACGUGACCCUAAUUGUUCUCACUUAUUUGCUUAUAGCUGCUGAAUCCGCAAUGAUUUGGCGUGCUGGUCAAGCAAAUUUGUCUGGUGAAUCAAACUCCCAAUCUUCAAUGGACGUUGGCAACAUUGGAAGUCCAGAAAGGACUAAGCAUGAGAUUGUCCCAUGUACUGUCCCAAAGGAGUCCAUUUGCUUUUAUUGCUAAGAGAAAGGGCAUUGGAGAUGAAGCUGCCCUAUUUGCCUGAGAGAUCUAAGAGAUGGGAGAGUCAAAACGUAUGACUCUACUUCAGGUAAAAAUCCAUUAAAUAACUCUUUUAAGUUCCUAUUCUAGAUUCUUAAUACAUGAUGUGAUAAGAUUAUAUUUUGAUGUUUUGUAGGAUCGAAGAAAAGAGAUGAAGCUUAAGGGAAGAAAUGAGCUGAAUCUAAUCGUGAAGAAAUGGAUUUCGAUCACAUUGCUUGAAGAUUGGAUUCUUGAGCUACUACUUGGAGUUAGAAUAGAUUGUUAAGAAAUAUGUAAUAACAUAGUUUUUCAAUUGAAUUGCAUUGUAAGGAAAAAAUUUUCCGCAAUAAAAUAAAUUUUGAUUUUAUCUUAUUUAUUUAUCCUUUCAAUGGCAUGUAUGAAAAUUGAUGUUUGAAGGUUUCUAUUAUUAGCAAUAAUGGAUUUUAUUUUUAAUUAUGUUAUUUGUGGAAAUGUCGAGAAUUUGCCAAAUAGGGAGAGUUUCUCAUCGCCCAAGUUUCAAUUAGACAAAAACUUGGAAUCAUACAACUUGGGUGUGUGAUAAAUGAGAAACUUUAUAAUUGGAAAUUCAAGACUAAUUCAUUGACAAAGAGUCAAGUGAAGGACUAGGAUAUCGAGUUCGCAAUGUUGUGCAUCAAUCAAGUCCACCACAAGAAUGAUAAAGAUAUUCUUCAUGAUUUAGUAAAGUUUAGUAAAUAUGAUUAUACUUAUAAGAUCAAGUGUAACUUUGAGUUGAUUGAAAGAGUUUCAAUGAAUAUCAGAACGAAUAAAGAAGGAUCAAGUAGGCAGAAAGAUAAAAGUUUCUCUAUUCUAAGAAGAAGGGAUAGUACCUUUUAUUGUGUUUAUGAUAAAGUCUUAAUGAUUAAGAACCAUAUCUCAAUUGGUCCUCUAAGUGAGUCUUAGUACAUUUGUAUGUCUAAGAAGAGGAAUCAGGAAUUUUGGAAAUGGUUAAAUCAAGAAGUCAAUCAUACUUCGUUCCCAUAUUGAAUCUUAGAGCCAAGAUUGUGAAUUGAGUGACACGUCUUUAGUAGGUUUAUAACACUCAACAAAUGUGGAAUUUGGAAAAGUUUUCUUAUUAUUGCACAUUUGAAAUUGGUAAGUUGUGCUGUCUUGGAUAAGACAAAGACCAACUAGAACCAAUUAUGUGAAGUGUUUUGUCUUGAUAAGAACUACACUAACUCUUGAAUAUUUGUUUUGUCUAGGAAAGUUUCCUGACAAGAGAAUCAUAUAUGUCAAGAGGUCAGUGGGAGUUUUAAUGAUCUUGAAAAAGGUUUCAAGAACAAAUCAAGAAUAAACCUUANAAUUAUUACUAACACGACUUGAGGUUUACAACCUAUCGUGUUGACAUUAUUUUGUUUCUAUGUCAUUCCAAUUGAGUUAAUUAUGUAUGUGAGUUCUAUGAGUUCUCAUUUGAAUGCAUAAAGACAAAGCAGGAGAUUGUUAUUAGACUUAUCCAAGUGGGAGAUUGUUGAUCAGGUUCUAAAUUCAUACAUAAAAUAGUUAUUAGACUUAUCCAAGUGGGAGAUUGUUGGAUUAGUGUCUAAGUCCAUAAAUAUUUUGGUAUGUACUUGACCCGAUUAUGAGCAUGGUCCUUUUGGGUUGCCUUCACCAUAGCAAUAUGUAGGAUGAAUUAAGGAGAGAAAGGUUUAAUUAUGAUUUAUUAAUAUAUUAUAAGAAUAAUAUAUUAAAGGAUAAAUCAUAAUGUUUAAUUAAUAUUAGUCAAGAAUUAAUUAAUAAGUAAUUUUGUGGCUAAAAGAGAUUAAUUAAACUAAAGGGACUUAUUCUGUAAUUAUAAGAUAAUUACAUAGAUGGACUUAUGGACUCCAUAGAAGGUGGAGUGGACGAAUUCUAUGGGGAAACCCAUUAGAAGUCGUCCAAGGCUUCUAAAGAAGGAGUCCAUGGGCUGCUUAGGGCUUAAGCAGUCAAAUUAGGGUUUCCUUGUUAGAUAACCCUAAUUGCCUAAGUAUAUAAGGAGCCCUUAGGCACCAAAAACGUGGCUAACACUUGGAUUAGGGUUUCCAGCCGUUUUUGGUGCCUCCCCUCUCUUCUCUUCUUCAUCUUGUUGCUUAGUGGUGUUUGUGACUCCAUUAGAGGUGCAACACUUGAGGCACUAAGCUUUCUAAAGCUAAGGAUUGAUUGUUAUUGCUAUAUAACAAUCAAAGGUCAGAUCUAAACCCUAUUUUAUGUUAAUAUGAUUAAUUGUAUGCUAGAUCUAGGGU